rnacentral:tRNA from 1 species
CCUGGUGGCUCAGAGGUUAGAGCGUCCACCUCCAAUGCGGGAGACCCAGGUUCGAUCCCUGGGUCAGGA